rnacentral:rRNA from 1 species
GUAGCUGGUCUGAGAGGAUGRCCAGCCACACUGGAACUGAGACACGGUCCAGACUCCUACGGGAGGCAGCAGUGGGGAAUAUUGGACAAUGGGGGCAACCCUGAUCCAGCAAUGCCGCGUGUGUGAAGAAGGCCUGAGGGUUGUAAAGCACUUUCAGUGGGGAGGAGGRUUGUUAGGUUAAGAGCUAGUUAAUUGGACGUUACCCACAGAAGAAGCACCGGCUAACUCCGUGCCAGCAGCCGCGGUAAUACGGAGGGUGCGAGCGUUAAUCGGAAUUACUGGGCGUAAAGGGUGCGUAGGUGGUUGGAUAAGUUAUCUGUGAAAUCCCUGGGCUYAACCUGGGMAGGUCAGAUAAGACUGUAUGACUCGAGUAUGG